UACGUAGGGUGCAAGCGUUGUCCGGAAUUAUUGGGCGUAAAGAGCUCGUAGGCGGUUUGUCGCGUCUGCUGUGAAAACUCGGGGCUUAACCCCGGGCCUGCAGUGGGUACGGGCAGACUAGAGUGCGGUAGGGGAGACUGGAAUUCCUGGUGUAGCGGUGAAAUGCGCAGAUAUCAGGAGGAACACCGGUGGCGAAGGCGGGUCUCUGGGCAACUACUGACGCUGAGGAGCGAAAGCGUGGGGAGCGAACAGG
rnacentral:rRNA from 1 species